UUCAAAAUGUUUUUGCCUCAGACAACCGUGUGCGAUCAAUCAGUAAUGUAAUCCUCUGCUGGUAGAACACAAAAACAAAGCCCCACCUUGCCUUGUAAACACAACAUCAUUAGUCUUAGGAUAAACUAUAAAUUGAUGCAUAGAGCAAACAGCCAGAGCUGCAUCCCGGGGAAUGGGAGCAGAUGAAAUAGCAGUACUUUAUGGUGAAUGACAAAUCAUUGCUUGUUCCGUUCCCUAUCAAGUGGAACACCAUCAAUCACAUGGUGGACUCGUUGGGUUCCAAGACAGAUAGGACACCAUGAACAGAUGCUAUGGCUGAGACUGCUGGCCUGGGCAGCACUGUACUUUUUGCUUUUCCUGGAAGGGGAAGAAGAGAACAAUCCACUUUCUGUAUGGUCCUGUCCUUCAUUCGAGUUUAUAACGUUCUCCCCAGCUGAAGUCUACACAAUCUUUACCCAGACAUCAGAAACAGCUGUCUCAGGCAGAAGGCGCUUGACUCCAGGUGGGCGCUCAGCAGCAAGGGCAGCAAAGUGCUGGGCACACAGAAGGACAACGUGAUGAAGCGCCAUCACAUGGCUGGUAGCCUGUGGUGAGUCACCGGACUUCUCGACUCCCACCUCACUAGGGUGGAAGGAACAGUAACCACAACGCUCUGCAACUCGGGCUGCGCCCGCAUGAUUGGAAACAAUCUGUGAAAUUGUGGAGUGAACAACCCCGAAGAAAUAGACUUCUAAUUCUAGCCUUUUGGAGAUUAUUAACCCAACUCCCAGAUUCUACAGAUGAGAAAAGGGAGGCCCAGGGAGGUGGAGAAACAUGUGUAGGAUCACAGAGAUGCCUUCAGCUCUCCAAAACAACAGAAAUGAUCAAAGAUGGAGGCAAGAAGACCAGAGAACCCUAAAUGUUUACUGUCUCCAGUGUGUUUGGAAACAGCUUGGACCAGUGUAGAGUGCUGGAACAGAGAGUCAAGAGCAUCAGGUUCGAUUCCCACCCUUACAAACUGCUCAGCCUAUGGAAAUUACUUUAUGUUUCAGGCCUCACUCUUGCCAUCUUUAAAAUGGCGACACAUGUACACACCCCUCCACAGUAAAUACAGAGGUCCUGCAAGCCAGGAUGUUAAGUACUUAGGAUGAAAAUGAUGACGAUUAAGUCUAUUCUAUCACUUGAUCUGAUUCUCUCUGACUAGUCUGCAGGGGGUAAUAACAUGGCCUGCAGAUGAUCCAUAAUCCACCAUCUUCUGGUGAAAAGAGAGGA
rnacentral:lncRNA from 1 species